UACGUAGGGUGCAGGCGUUAAUCGGAAUUACUGGGCGUAAAGCGUGCGCAGGCGGUUUGUUAAGACAGGUGUGAAAUCCCCGGGCUUAACCUGGGAACUGCGCUUGUUACUGGCAGACUUGAGUGUGGCAGAGGGGGGUGGAAUUCCAGGUGUAGCAGUGAAAUGCGUAGAGAUCUGGAGGAACACCGGUGGCGAAGGCGGGAUCCUGGGCCAGUACUGACGCUGAGGAGCGAAAGCGUGGGGAGCAAACAGG
rnacentral:rRNA from 1 species